UGUGUACUCCCUCCGUUCCAAAAUACUUGACUUCCAUUUGUACAAAAAUGGAUGUACCUAUAUACUAAAACAUGUCUAGAUACAUAUAUAUUUUGACAAAUAGAAGGCAUGUAUUGUGCAACGGAGGGAGUAGAAU
rfam:Triticum urartu cultivar G1812 contig261157, whole genome shotgun sequence.